rnacentral:rRNA from 1 species
UCUUGGAGAGUUUGAUCCUGGCUCAGGACGAACGCUGGCGGCGUGCUUAACACAUGCAAGUCGAACGGAGAGAGAUGGAAGCUUGCUUCUAUCGAUCUUAGUGGCGAACGGGUGAGUAACGCGUAACCAACUUGCCCUUCAGAGGGGGAUAACAACGGGAAACCGUUGCUAAUACCGCGUACGAAUGAACUUCGGCAUCGGAGCUCAUUGAAAGGUGGCCUCUAUUUAUAAGCUAUCGCUGAAGGAGGGGGUUGCGUCU